ACUGCUCAGACCCUCCAGGGACAGGGCCCAGGAUUGAAGAGGGAAGCCCUGCCCCGCACGUGUUCAUCAGGAAGGACCCACAGACUGCUGCUCCUGGAGGCCUCUCAGGGUUUAUGGAUGUGUGUUUGUUCCAUAAACCCUCAGAGGGUCACCUGGAGACCUGCUAAAAUGCAGGUUCUUGGGCCACAUCCUAGACCUUCUGACCGACCCAGGGAGUGGGGCCCAGAAAGCUGCAUUUGACAGAUAUCCCCGUGUGAUCAUCAUGCACACAGGAGUGAGCGAACCAGUGUUCUCCCUGGGCAGAAGGGAAGCUUGUGUGCAGGACACCUCAUGCCUCCUUUCCCAUUCCCCUGCCAGGCUCUCCCUGCUGACAUUGUUUCGUGGGAGAGCUGUGAAUUCUGAAGAUUAGGUUGCUUCUCACCCCAAGCUCCAGAAGUCCAGGCUGAGCCAAACCAAGCUUCAAGUUAACAAGUCAAAUGACAAAAACAAAACACCAGGCUGAAAUCAUAGGCUUCUACGAGCAGGUGCCUGGACUUGGAGAACCAGGAGGUGAGGGGACUGACUGCUUGAAG
rnacentral:lncRNA from 1 species